rnacentral:rRNA from 1 species
AUUGAACGCUGGCGGCAGGCCUAACACAUGCAAGUCGAGCGGAGCGGCGGACGGGGGAGUAAUGCCUAGGAAUCUGCCUGGUAGUUGGGGAAAACGUCCGGAAAAGGGCGCUAAUACCGCAUACUAUGAGAUGAGCCUAGGUCGGAUUAGCUAGUUGGUGGGGUAACGGCCAACCAAGGCGACGAUCCGUAACUGGUCUGAGAGGAUGAUCAGGCACACUGGAACUGAGACACGGCCCAGACUCCCACGGGAGGCAGCAGUGGGGAAGAUUGGACAAUGGGCGAAAGCCUGAUCCAGCCAUGCCGCGUGUGUGAAGAAGGUCUUCGGAUUGUAAAGCACUUUAAGUUGGGAGGCGUUACCAACAGAAUAAGCACCGGCUAACUUCGUGCCAGCAGCCGCGGUAAUAC